GAUGAAGAACGUAGCGAAAUGCGAUAAGUAAUGUGAAUUGCAGAAUUCAGUGAAUCAUCGAAUCUUUGAACGCACAUUGCGCCUGCCAGUAGUCUGGCGGGCAUGCCUGUUCGAGCGUCAUUACAACCCUCAGGCCCCCGGGCCUGGCGUUGGGGAUCGGCGGAGCCCCCCGUGGGCACACGCCGUCCCCCAAAUACAGUGGCGGUCCCGCCGCAGCUUCCAUCGCGUAGUAGCUAACACCUCGCGCCUGGAGAGCGGCGCGGCCACGCCGUAAAACACCCAACUCUUCUGAAGUUGACCUCGAAUCAGGUAGGAAUACCCGCUGAACUUAAGCAUAUCAAUAAGCGGAGGA
rnacentral:misc_RNA from 1 species